AGCGAACGCUAGCGGCAGGCUUAACACAUGCAAGUCGAGCGCCAGGUUUCGGCCUGGAGCGGCGAACGGGUGAGUAACACGUAGGUCACGUACCCUAUGGUGGGGAAUACCCCGGGGAAACUCGGAUCAAUGCCCCAUAUGUCCGAAAGGAUGAAAGCGCUUCGGUGCGCCAGAGGAUCGGCCUGCGGCCCAUUAUUUAAUCCUAGUUGGUGAGGUAACGGCUCACCAAGGGUACGAUGGGUAGCUGGUCUGAGAGGACGAUCAGCCACACUGGAACUGAGACACGGUCCAGACUCCGACGGGAGGCAGCAGUGGGGAAUAUUGGACAAUGGGCGAAAGCCUGAUCCAGCCAUGCCGCGUGAGUGAUGAAGGCCUUCGGGUUGUAAAGCUCUGUCGUGGGGGAAGAAGCUCUGACGGUACCCCACAAGAAAGCACCGGCUAACUCCGUGCCAGCCGCCGCAGUAAAAC
rnacentral:rRNA from 1 species